AGCCACGUAGCCUAGUGAUAACGCUUCCGCCUCGUAAGUGGUAGACCGGGGUUCAAAUCCCGGCUUGGACUA
rfam:Culex pipiens quinquefasciatus supercont3.435 genomic scaffold, whole genome shotgun sequence.